GAAACCGGGGCUAAUGCCGGAUAACAUGUUGAACCGCAUGGUUCAACAGUGAAAGACGGUCUUGCUGUCACUUAUAGAUGGACCCGCGCCGUAUUAGCUAGUUGGUAAGGUAACGGCUUACCAAGGCAACGAUACGUAGCCGACCUGAGAGGGUGAUCGGCCACACUGGAACUGAGACACGGUCCAGACUCCUACGGGAGGCAGCAGUAGGGAAUCUUCCGCAAUGGGCGAAAGCCUGACGGAGCAACGCCGCGU
rnacentral:rRNA from 1 species